UGGCGCAGUUGAGCAG
rnacentral:miRNA from 1 species